rnacentral:rRNA from 1 species
GCUGUUAGGAGACUUUGUCUUUUAGUGGCGCAGCUAACGUUUUAAGUUGUCCGCCUGGGGAGUACGGCCGCAAGGCUAAAACUCAAAUGAAUUGACGGGGACCCGCACAAGCAGUGGAUCAUGUGGUUUAAUUCGAUGCAACGCGAAAAACCUUACCUACUCUUGACAUACUUGGAAGCUCUUGUAAUGAGAGUGUGCUUUUAAGAACCAAGAUACAGGUGCUGCAUGGCUGUCGUCAGCUCGUGUCGUGAGAUGUUCCGUUAAGUCGGAUAACGAGCGCAACCCUUACCCUUAUUUGCCAGCGAUUCGGCCGGGAACUAUAAGGGGACUGCCGGUGAUAAACCGGAGGAAGGUGAGGACGACGUCAAGUCAUCAUGGCCCUUACGAGUAGGGCUACACACGUGAUACAAUGGGAGAGACAGACGGGCGCUAAGCCGCGAGGUGGUGCUAAUCCUAGAAACUCUCUCGUAGUCCGGAUUGGAGUCUGCAACUCGACUCCAUGAAGUUGGAAUUGCUAGUAAUCGCGGAUCAGCAUGCCGCGGUGAAUACGUUCUCGGGUCUUGUACACACCGCCCGUCACACCAUGGAAGUGGAUUGCACCAGAAGUAGAUAGUCUAACCUUAGGGAGGGCGUUUACCACGGUGUGCUUCAUGACUGGGGUG